GACGAACGCUGGCGGCGUGCUUACCACAUGCAAGUCGAACGGAAAGGCCCUGCUUUUGUGGGGUGCUCGAGUGGCGAACGGGUGAGUAACACGUGAGUAACCUGCCCUUGACUUUGGGAUAACUUCAGGAAACUGGGGCUAAUACCGGAUAGGAGCUCCUGCUGCAUGGUGGGGGUUGGAAAGUUUCGGCGGUUGGGGAUGGACUCGCGGCUUAUCGGCUUGUUGGUGGGGUAGUGGCUUACCAAGGCUUUGACGGGUAGCCGGCCUGAGAGGGUGACCGGCCACAUUGGGACUGAGAUACGGCCCAGACUCCUACGGGAGGCAGCAGUGGGGAAUAUUGCACAAUGGGCGGAAGCCUGAUGCAGCAACGCCGCGUGCGGGAUGACGGCCUUCGGGUUGUAAACCGCUUUCGCCUGUGACGAAGCGUGAGUGACGGUAAUGGGUAAAGAAGCACCGGCUAACUACGUG
rnacentral:rRNA from 1 species